UAACAGGGCCCAUCAAUUGGCAUAAACACAUCGAAAGACAACCAGAGAAGGAACUCUGGGUACUAGAUGACAUCUAGGUAGAAGAACUCCUUGCCAUCCCCACCAAUCAACGCCUCCUUCCAGCUUAUCCUGCUAGGUGUUCUUGACUGUAAUCCGAUUGCUUCUGGUUGCCUCCUUGACUCUCAGCAACGUGAAGGCCAUCAGUGAGUUUAAUUCGGUUGUACGUGCUCCCACAUUGAUAGAAAAACAAAAGAAAGCAAGUUACUCAUGUGGCCUGAAAUAAACUCUGCAAUAAACACAAAGAGAGGGGCAAAAUCGAACCUUCUUCAAGCGAUUUGGGCUAGCAGGACUGGAAGACCAGGGGGAUUUGAUUGAUACGGCUAGAUGACUGUCUAGUACACCAGCUCCUCGACAGAUGGCUCCUUUCCACUCGCUUGGCGCUGCAGGAUUGCUCCCGAGAGGCCGAGACAACUUUCGGAGCUGUCUCCUGGUCACCGCUCUUGAAUAUAACAACUUCCGGUGCUCAUAAUUCCGAGGUCAUAUGAAUAUAACAGCUCAAAUCAUGACUUAAGACAUGUUCAAGAAUGAAAAUGUUGGACAAAGGAUAUUCCGAACUCAUAAACCUUUCUAAGAAUUUGGGGAGAUUUAUUCCAACUUUGCAAGUGAAAAUUAGGUAUCAUAAAUCAUAAGAUCAAGCCGUUCCACUGUUUUUUUUUCAAUCUCAAUUUAUGACUUUUGCAUACACCUAUAUGUACUACCAUAAUUAAUUCAUAAAUUUGACCGUGCAUAAGCUUUAAACUGCCAAAAAAGACUUUAACUACUACAACUCCAACAGAAAAAUGAAACAUUUGUUUAGUCAAGAUGAAUAGAGUAAGACAGUUAUAUUUACUUAGCAGGAACUAAUAGGACACCCUGCAGAACAAAUACAAAUGAGAAAAUAAUCACAGUUCACAAUAGAGUAGAUCGACCUUAAUGGCACCUAACGCAUCACUCAGUUGAAAAUUAAUCACAAUAUUAAAUGAGCAUUACCUAGUCCAUAAAUCCCACCAAGCUUGUCACUAGAGGAAUUUUAAUCGCAACAAUCAGAAAAUUGCAGAUCUCAAACAACUAAUGCUUAGAAAAUUCAAAAUCUGCAAAUACAAAAAGUAAACAUUAGAUAACCAUGACCUACCAUUUGACAUUAUUAUUAUAAAUCUAAUAAGGCAAUGGGUUUAACAAAAAGAUUGAGAUAAUCAUUUAGGCCAGAAUAAAGUGAGAUAAGAUAACAUAGACGGUGAAGGCAAUGCCAGUGCUGCAGAUGUCACAAAAACAGUAGCCUGAUGUGAGAGCACAUCACAACUCAGCUUAAGUAGAUCAAUUUAUUUAUCAAAGAAGACGAUUACAACUUAACUUUAUCUGACUUGAACACAUGAACAGGACUCUGUAACACAGGGAUCAUCUAUUGACAUACACACAUCGAAAGACAACCAUAGGAGGAACUGUUACUACAAAGCUUGGGAAGAUUCGACUAGAUGAAAACUGGGUAGAAGAACGGAACUGUUACUACAAAGCUUGGGAAGAUUCGACUAGAUGAUGACAACUAGGUAGAAGAACUCCUCGCCAUCGCCACCAAUCCACGCCUCCUCUUCACUGCCUUUGCCUUCAAGGUUCAAGCACAUCCUGCUAGGUGUUCUUCACUUGUAAUCCGAUUACUUCCGGUUGCCUCCUCAACUCUCAGCAACGUGAAGGCGGGGGGGGGUUGUAGGUGCUCCCACAUUGACAGAAAAACAAGAGAAAGCAAGUUACUCAUGUGGCCUGAAAUAAACUCUGCAAUAAACACAAAGAGAGGGGGGAAAUCGAACCUUCUUCAAGCUAUUUGGGCCAGCAGGACCGGAACACCAGGGGGAUUUGAUUGAUACGGCUAGAUGACUGUCCAGUAGACCAGCUCCUCGACAGUAGGCUUCUUUUCGCUCCCUUGGCGCUCGAGGAUUUCUUCUGCGACAACUUCCGGACCUUUCUCCUGGUCACGACUGUUCUGCGCCUCAGUCACGACGAGGCAGCCGCGGUGGCCGGAAGGGGGAGCAGCUGGGCCUCGCCGACGGCGCAGGGCGAGGCUCCGGUCCAGGAUCGCCGACGACCAACCUGCAGCCUCGGAGUCGUCGGCGAGAAGGAGAUCCCCGCAGCGGCCUCUCUUCUUCUCGGCGGGGACGCGCAUCUGCGCCGGCUGGACGGGAUCCACGAACGUGAAAGAGCCGAGCAUGGCGUUCGGUCCCUGCGGUGGGAUCUCGACGGACGACAUGGCGGCGGCGGCGGCGGCUGUGGAGAUCGAAACCCUAGAUCUGGCUUGGAGCAACGAAAGCGCGGGAGGAAGGAAAGAAUUGAGCGGAAGCAGAGAUGAGAAAUUAUCGAUCUGGACGAGGUUGAAUACGGCUUUAUACUAGUAUCUGAAACAAG
rnacentral:lncRNA from 1 species